rnacentral:rRNA from 1 species
GAUGAACGCUGGCGGCAUGCCUUACACAUGCAAGUCGAACGGCAGCAUGGAGAGCUUGCUCUCUGAUGGCGAGUGGCGAACGGGUGAGUAAAGCAUCGGAACGUACCGUGUAGUGGGGGAUAACGUAGCGAAAGUUACGCUAAUACCGCAUACGCACUGAGGUGGAAAGCAGGGGAUCGUAAGACCUUGCGCUAUACGAGCGGCCGAUGUCAGAUUAGCUAGUUGGUAGGGUAAAGGCCUACCAAGGCGACGAUCUGUAGCGGGUCUGAGAGGAUGAUCCGCCACACUGGGACUGAGACACGGCCCAGACUCCUACGGGAGGCAGCAGUGGGGAAUUUUGGACAAUGGGGGCAACCCUGAUCCAGCCAUGCCGCGUGAGUGAAGAAGGCCUUCGGGUUGUAAAGCUCUUUCGGCCGGGAAGAAAUCGCACAGGCUAAUACCCUGUGUGGAUGACGGUACCGGCAUAAGAAGCACCGGCUAACUACGUGCCAGCAGCCGCCGUAA